rnacentral:rRNA from 1 species
CCUUGUACACACCGCCCGUCACACCAUGGGAGUUGGUUUUACCCGAAGGCGAUGCGCUAACCGCAAGGAGGCAGUCGACCACGGUAGGGUCAGCGACUGGGGUGAAGUCGUAACAAGGUACCC